rnacentral:rRNA from 1 species
CUUGGUGAGUAUAGCUAUGGGGGUACACCUAGUUACAUUCCGAACCUAGAAGUUAAGCCCAUAUACGCUGAUGGUACUUGGCUGGAAGCGGCCUGGGAGAGUAUGGAUUUGCCAAGCU